rnacentral:rRNA from 1 species
UCAUGGCAUAAAACAAAAAGUUGGAUAUUACGAACCAUAGUUUAAAAUUCAAAGAUUUUGGCGGUGUCUUAUAAAACCAGGGGAACCUGUCUCAUAACUCGAUAGUCCACGACUACCUAACCUCUUUUUGAAAUUCAGCUUGUGUACUGCCGUUGUAAGCAAACCUUUAAAAGAAUAAGUAUGCUACCAUGAUUAAUAAAAUAUUAACCCAUCUACAUCAGGUCAAAGUGCAGCUAACAAAGAGGAGAUAAUGGGUUACAACCCCAAUAAAGAAAUGGAUUAAAAAAUAAAAAUUUUUUAUAAAGGUGAACUUGGCCGUAAUCAAUAAACACCAUAAACAAAUGAAUAUCCACCUAAGACAUGUACACAUCGCCCGUCACUCUACC